GCAAUAAAGCCAAACUUUCAAUUUUUGAAAAAUUAAAUUAGACAAUAGGAAUAUUUCAAGUUUUCACCUUUUGGUUUGGGUCUGAAGCUUUAAAGUGGCAUCCUGAAAAGAAAACCAGAUGCUUUAAUACCAGCUGCUAAACUAAUAGAAGAUUAUGGUUUUACCAUAAUUAGAGAGAGACCCAUUCAAGGCAAACAGAUUAGUAUUUCAUUCAGAAAAGCCCCAAAUCCAAUACAAUAUGGUCUUAGUUAUCCCUUCCCCACAUCUGCCAUCAUAGAUUUUCCUCCAAAAGCUCAUCCCUUUUCCCCAGUUGGAGCUUUU
rnacentral:misc_RNA from 1 species